rnacentral:rRNA from 1 species
GCGUACGUUAAAGUUGCUGCAGUUAAAAAGCUCGUAGUUGAACGUUCGGGUUCCGCGGGACGGGGCCGCCCCGCGAGGGACGGCGCCGCCCCGGGGCUCGUGAUAUCUUAUCUCGCCGCCCGUCGCGAGGCGGACGGAGGGAUGGAUGAGGUUACCUGGAAAAAAUCGGGGCGAUCUAGGCGGGCGAACCUCGCCAACGAACGAUCGGACAUGGGAUAACGGAAGAGGGCGUCGGCUCGACUUCGUCGGUUCCUCGGGCCGAGGCACGUACGGUGAAUAGGGACGGUCGGGGCCGCCCGUACCGGGUCGUGAGAGGUGAAAUUCUAGGAUCGACCCGAGACGAACUGCCGCGAAAGCAUUCGGCAAGGACGCUUUCAUUAAUCAAGAACGAAAGUCGGGGGAUCGAAGACGAUCAGAUACCGUCGUAGUCCCGACCGUAAACGAUGCCGACCGAGGGCCCGGAGGAGUUACGUACGACCCUCCGGGCCCUCCCGCGAGAAAUCAGGAGUAUUC